rnacentral:rRNA from 1 species
AGCGAACCGCUGGCGGCAGGCCUAACACAUGCAAGUCGAGCGGACGUAGCAAUACGUCAGCGGCAGACGGGAGAGUAACACGUGGGAACGCGCCCUUCGGUUCGGGAUAACUCAGGGAAACUUGGGCUAAUACCGGAUACGCCCUAACGGGGAAAGAUUUAUUGCCGAAGGAACGGCCCGCGUCCGAUUAGCUAGUUGGUGAGGUAAUGGCUCACCAAGGCGACGAUCGGUAGCUGGUCUGAGAGGAUGGCCAGCCUCACUGGGACUGAGACACGGCCCAGACUCCUACGGGAGGCAGCAGUGGGGAAUAUUGCGCAAUGGGGGCAACCCUGACGCAGCGACGCCGCGUGGAUGAUGAAGGCUUUCGAGUCGUAAAAUCCUGUCCUUAGGGAAGAUAAUGACGGUACCUAAGGAGGAAGCCCCGGCUAACUACGUG